rnacentral:lncRNA from 1 species
AUGUUGCAUUUUGCACACAUCAUGUGUGUUUUAUAGAUUGUAGUUGUUUGUUUAUCUAAAGAACCCUUUGAUUAGUGAGUAUUGAAGCAAUCUGACAGGAGUUGAUAUUUGUAAGGUGUUUGGGAUUGCCCAACUGAAACUGCUAUCACAUAGUCAUUCACAUCACAUCUGCACUUAACUCCACCAGGGCAGUUAACUCCGACAAGACUGCCUCCCGAUGAGCUCCCUACGGCAGCGACCAUAUAGAGAGACGGAGAAAGAGACGAGAUAGAGAGAGAUAAUGGGAGUGAGAGGAUCAGAGGACAAUAUGGAAGGUUGAACGGUGCUUCUCUAAUGGUCGGAAUAUCGCCGGAGUGUCGGAAUACGCUUCUCCGGUGGUUGGAAUAUCGCCAGAGUUUAAUAAAAGAGGGGUUAAACGUAUAGAGAACUUGAAACACUUGAAGAUUCAUCUUAGUGAUAUAAAACUGGCCACCGACGAUUUUUCAGACACAUACAAAAUUGGAGUUACAGCAUACUGUAAUUUGUAUAGAGCAACUUUUGAUUUUGAAAA